rnacentral:rRNA from 1 species
GACGAACGCUGGCGGCGUGCUUAACACAUGCAAGUCGAACGGAAAGGCCCUGCGUUUGUGGGUUGCUCGAUUGGCGAACGGGUGAGUAUCACGUGAGUAACCUGCCCUUGUCUGUGUGAUAACUUCACGAAACUGGGGCUAUUACCGGAUAGGAGCUCCUGCUGCAUGGUGGUGGUUGGAAAGUUUCGGCGGUUGUGGAUGGACUCGCGGCUUAUCAGCUUGUUGGUGGGGUAGUGGCUUACCAAGGGUUUGACGGGUAGCCGGCCUGAGAGGGUGACCGGCCACCUUGGGACUGAGAGACGGCCCAGAAUCCUACGGGCGGCAGAAGUGGGGAAUAUUGCACAAUGGGCGGAAGUCUGAUGCAGCAGCGCCGCGUGCGGGAUGACGGCCUUCGGGUUGUAAACCGCUUUCGCAUGUGACGAAGCGUGAGUGACGGUAAUGGGUAAAGAAGCACCGGCUAACUACGUG